rnacentral:rRNA from 1 species
CUCAACCUGAACUCAGUCGUGAUUACCCGCUGAACUUAAGCAUAUCAUUUAGCGGAGGAAAAGAAACUAAACAGGAUUCCCUUAGUAACGGCGAGUGAAACGGGAAGAGCCCAGCGCCGAAUCGUUCAGUCUUUGGCUGCUACGAAAUGUGGCGUAUAGGUGUAGUCUUCCAGCAGUGUCGUGAGUCCGAAGUCCUUACGAUUGAGGCCAUAAGCCAGAGAGGGUGCGAGCCCCGUCCUGGAUUGCGGCACUGUUGGUUUCGAUUGCUCCUUGGA